AUUUCCACAGAUCUCUCUCCUGCCUCGCUAUUUUCCCUUACCACAAGAUCCUGUUCUUUCUCAGGACCACUGUCUCCUUCAGGCUCCUCCUCUUCCACAGACCCCUGUCCUCUGUCACCCUCUCCUUCCCCAAGCACCGUUUCUCCCUCAGAACUUUCCCCUCCCAAAGGACUACCCUCUUCUUCCCAACAACUCUCUGCACUCUCAAAACUCUCCUCUUCAGUAGAGCUCUUUGUCACAAGACACUCUUCACCAUCAGAUCUCUCCACUGCCACUGCAGCCUCUCUUUCCGCAGAACCCUCCUCAGAAUUUUUCUCUUUAACAGAACCCUUUUCUCCCAUAAGCCUCUUCCCUUUCUCAGGACUCUCUCCUCCCACAGAAUUGUCUUCUUUCACAAAACUCUUUUCUUCCACCUUAAUCUCUACAUCCCCAGUGCUUUUCAAUCUUCUGGAACUCUUUAUUUCUAUAGAAUGUUUCUUUCCUGUCUUCCUUUUUAGAGAUCUCCUCCUUCGUAAAUAUUUUCUACUUCCUUUAGAACUGUUCCUGGAUAUCGAACUGUUCCUAGCUAUAGAUGUCCCCUGGGUCACAGAACUGUCCUCUUCCAAGAUACUCUUCUUAGACCUAGAACUCUUGCUGCUUAAGGAAUUCUUUCUUAUUAUCUUUAGAAUUUUCUUCCCUAUGAUAAAAGUCUUCUUUUUCCUAGGCCUCUCCUUUAGCGAGGGCCUUCUGACCACGGAGCUCUUCCUUCUCGGGGAAGGCUCCCCAGUAACGGAAAGGUCCCAUCCCACAGAGCUCUUCCCUCCCACAGAGCUCCUGUCUGCCAUAGCACUCUUCAGGCCCUCCGCAGCCCCCUUUUCUGGAGCGGCCCCCUCUUCUGUAACAGUCCCUUCCUUCGGAGAAGCCCCUUCGCCCUCGGUCGCCUCUGGCUCCUCAGUUUCCCUUCUCUCAGGCCCUUGGGCCUCCACAGAGCUCUUCCCUCCUGAGGCACUCUCGCCUCUAGUGGGCCUGGUCUCCUCAGCCUCGGGGUUCCCCCUCGCCCCUGAAUUUUCCCUUCUCUCAGAAUUCUCAUUGAUCAGGGGGGGAAGACUCCGCGGUCCUCCUCAACAGGGUAUCCAUUUGGCAGCGGGCCUGGCUCGAGUGGCAGUGGGGGUGAGGGUGGGGAUAGGGGAGCAGACGGAGGGCCGGGGGAGGCCUCAGAUCAGGGUGCUUCUCUGUAGGUGUGGAGGGGGGCUCUUUGGCUUCCCCUCCCUCUCCUUUGGGCCUUGGGUCUGUGCCACCCAGGGCCCUGACGACGGAAGGGGUCGAGUGACGGAGUGA
rnacentral:lncRNA from 1 species